UGCGUAGGUGGCGAUUUAAGUUGGAUGUGAAAUACCCGGGCUUAACCUGGGGGGUGCAUCCAAAACUGGAUGGCUAGAGUGCAGGAGAGGGAAGCGGAAUUCCUAGUGUAGCGGUGAAAUGCGUAGAUAUUAGGAGGAACACCAGUGGCGAAGGCGGCUUUCUGGACUGUAACUGACACUGAGGCACGAAAGCGUGGGGAGCAAACAGGAUUAGAUACCCUGGUAGUCCACGCUGUAAACGAUGAAUACUAGGUGUAGGGGGUAUGAACUCCCCCUGUGCCGGAGCUAACGCAAUAAGUAUUCCGCCUGGGGAGUACGGCCGCAAGGUUGAA
rnacentral:rRNA from 1 species